GGAGCGGUAGUUCAGUUUGGUUAGAACGCCGGCCUGUCACGCCGGAGGUCGCGGGUUCGACCCCCGUCCGCUCCGCCA
rnacentral:tRNA from 1 species